rnacentral:rRNA from 1 species
GACGAACGCUAGCGGCGUGCUUAACACAUGCAAGUCGAACGGAAAGGCCCUGCUUGCAGGGUACUCGAGUGGCGAACGGGUGAGUAACACGUGGGUGAUCUGCCCUGCACUUCGGGAUAAGCCUGGGAAACUGGGUCUAAUACCGGAUAGGAGCCAUUUUUAGUGUGAUGGUUGGAAAGUUUUUUCGGUGUAGGAUGAGCUCGCGGCCUAUCAGCUUGUUGGUGGGGUAAUGGCCUACCAAGGCGGCGACGGGUAGCCGGCCUGAGAGGGUGGACGGCCACAUUGGGACUGAGAUACGGCCCAGACUCCUACGGGAGGCAGCAGUGGGGAAUAUUGCACAAUGGGCGCAAGCCUGAUGCAGCGACGCCGCGUGGGGGAUGACGGCCUUCGGGUUGUAAACUCCUUUCGCUAGGGACGAAGCUUUUUGUGACGGUACCUAGAGAAGAAGCACCGGCUAACUACGUG